rnacentral:lncRNA from 1 species
CAUGUAGUUCACUACUGAGACGGAUGGCGGACAGAAACGUGUCCUUAUUAUGCAAUUUUUUACUGUUUAUUAUUUAAUUUGUUUGACCUCAUAGAAUUGAUUGACAACAAUAAAGGGUUGUCUAGCGCAUUAUUUUUUUCUCCUACUUUUAUGAGUAUUACAACCCCUAUGUGAAACACCCUGUUGCUUAGAAUUUUGAGGCAUAACAUAUGUAAAGCGCAAUAGGAGAAGGUAAAAACGGAAAAGCAUAAUAGGACCCCUCUAAAAUUGUCAAUUUGUCACUAUAGCCGCGUUUACAUGGACACAUCUAUAGCCGCGAAAAUGGUCAUGUAUACGCCUCAUUCGGAAUACAAUUAUCUGUUCGGCAUAGAUUCUAUGCCGAAUAGAAUAGGUGGUGUAGUCCGUUUUAAAUCGCCAUGUAUACACUUAUUCCGCAUAGAUUGGGGUUUAACUUAGAGCAGCCGCAGUAGUUCGCAAUUGGUCCACUGAGAUCCGUCGGUACUUUUAAGCACACCGAACUUCACCGCUGUCAAGGAAAGUGGAUUUAUUGCCUGAUUCACGUCUUUGUUAUCACUCCGUAAAAGUAGUCCGGUAAGCGUGUCCGGUUGCUAAGCGACGGGACAUGGGUGUUAUUAAUGAGGUGUCCGCGCGCGUCCGAGAUAACUGUAAAUGAGUAGGCUACUACUAGUACUUUUGCAGGCUGAACGUUAAAAUACUUCUUAACUUAGAGAGAUGGCAGCUGCAGUAGAGCGCAAUUGGACCUUCGAGGAUUCCUGGUCACUAAAUUCCCGUAAGACCACUUUCUCCCACCAGUCUUGGCUGCGAACUCGCAUCCAAAUUCCUCUUGUUUGCGGCGGAGCAUAGGGUAAAUAUAAAGAUCUGACGAGAAAUUGACGUUGCUGCGCUGUCCUCCUCCUUCUUAAUUGAAGGAGCAGGCAGAGAAAAGCUCUCUCCUGCUGUGCUUUCAUUAAAAUCAAAUUUUAAAUCCCCGAUAGUGAUAAGACAUCCAUUAUGUCGCCGCCGGUCCAGAGACGUGUCAGGUGUGCGCGAGAGACAUAACGGACACUUUUGUUACUGCCAUGUAUACAGUACAUUCGGAACACAUUUUAGGAACAGAUCUAUGCCGCAUAGAAAUCUAUGCGGCAUAGAUCUGCCAUGUAAACGCGGCUAGUGUAUAUUUUACAGAUAAUCUAUUAAAAUAAACAACUC